CCAGCAGCUGCGGUAAUUCCAGCUCUGUAAGCGUAUACCAAAGUUGUUGCAGUUAAAACGCUCGUAGUCGGAACUUGGCAGUUCCGGAUGUGAGCACAUCGUGUGCAUACUUUGCGGGGACUGCUUUUGUGGUUUUGGCGUCGGAUGAGGCACUUUCAUUAGUGAACGUUCGCACGCAGCCACUCUUUACUGUGAGAAAAUCAGAGUGCUCAAAGCAGGCAUUUGCCGUGAAUGUAUUAGCAUGGAAUAAUAGAAUAGGACUUGGUUCUAUUUUGUUGGUUUGUUGGGGCUGAGUAAUGAUUAAGAGGGACAGUUGGGGGCAUUUGUAUUUCGGCGCUAGAGGUGAAAUUCUUAGAUUGCCGAAAGACAAACUGCUGCGAAAGCGUCUGCCAAGGAUGUU
rnacentral:rRNA from 1 species